ACGCCAUUCUCGUCCAAACCAAACUGGGCAGAACACAAAAGCCAGAUAGCCAGAACCCAAAGCUAGUUCUAGAGAGAGAAAGAGAUAGAGAGAGAAACUCAUACUGUUUAACUCUGACAACACAGACUAGAUUCCAGAGUCUAGUUCAGCCCAGGUUCUCCAUAUUUCAAAGCAAAACCCAAUCUUUCUCUCAUCAACGUCAGAGGCUGGAGUCGGAGAAGAAAAAGAUAGUCUAUGGGGGAAGACGCAGGAAGAGGUUUGGAAUGCCAGAAGACUAUGGAUGGGAAGGUGAGUAACAGAAACGGUUCAGAGAAGGCCAUUCCUUCUUGUUGCUUGAAGGCUAGGGCUUCAGAUCCUGAGGCCGAUGCAAUAAGCCAUUCUACUGUUGUUUCUGGGUGGUUUUCAGAAUCCCAGUCUCGCACAGAUAAGGCUAGUAGAAAGACUUACUUCAACAACCCGAUGUGGCCUGGUGAAGCUCACUCACUGAAAGUAGAAAACAUUCUAUUCAAGGAUAAAUCAGAGUUCCAAGAGGUUUUGGUUUUUGAGUCUUCAACAUAUGGAAAAGUGCUUGUUCUUGAUGGCAUCAUUCAGCUGAGUGAGAAGGACGAAUGUGCAUACCAGGAGAUGAUAACUCAUCUACCUCUUUGUUCGAUUCCCUCCCCAAAAAAUGUUCUGGUUGUCGGUGGUGGUGACGGUGGAGUUCUUAGGGAGAUAUCACGCCAUCCUUCUGUUGAGCAUAUUGAUAUAUGUGAGAUAGAUAAGAUGGUUAUAGAUGUGUCUAAGAAGUUUUUUCCAGAGUUAGCUGUUGGAUUUGAGGACCCUCGUGUCCAUCUGCAUGUUGGUGAUGCUACUGAAUUCUUGAGGCAUGCACCUGAAGGGAAGUAUGAUGCUAUAAUUGUUGAUUCAUCAGAUCCUGUAGGUCCUGCUCAAGAGCUUGUAGAGAAGCCAUUUUUUGAGACAAUCGCUAGAGCAUUAAGGCCUGGCGGUGUUCUCUGUAACAUGGCAGAGAGUAUGUGGCUCCAUACACAUCUUAUUGAAGAUAUGAUCUCUGUUUGCCAUCUAACAUUCAAGGGGUCAGUCAACUAUGCAUGGGCGAGUGUUCCUACAUAUCCAAGUGGUGUUAUAGGUUUUCUGCUAUGCUCAACAGAAGGGCCUCCUGUUGAUUUUAAAAAUCCAGUCAACUCCAUUGAGAAGUUGGAAGGAGCUGUCAAACACAGAAGAGAACUUCGGUUCUAUAACUCUGAGAUGCACUCAGCUGCCUUUGCCUUGCCUACUUUUUUGAGGAAGGAGGUGAGCGCACUCCGUGAUUCUUCAACUCCAGCAAGACAAAGUGGCUUGUCCUAGUAAAUAACUAGCGACAACUGGUUACUCUAUCUUCCUGAUUAUUGAAAUGAGUACCGCAUGGAAGAAUAGAGACCAGGGUAUAGCCGCAGGUACCCAAGUUCUUGGGAGUAAGUAGACAAUUGAGGAGCUUUUAUAUGCUUCUUUAAUCGAUUGCGGCGACGGGCUCUUAUGGAAGAAAGAGCCAAUUCCUCCAGCUGAGAAUUGUUUCUGUUCAAAUCGGGAACUGCCUUGCUGAAAUGCCACCAGAAUUUGGAGACCACAGCCUUCAAGUCCUUUGCCAUGAGAGAAAAGGCUUCAACUUUUGUAUGGCAUUUUACAUUUUGGGUCGAGAUAGGGAGGUCGGAGAAGGACAUGUAUGAGGCAGCCCAACUCAAAAGUUCUUCUCCAUAGAAAUCACCUUUACCAAGACACUCUGUGAUUGAGGAACCCAAUUUUAUUGAACCAUCAGUACUUGUUGUGUAAGUCCAUAUAAUGCCUUCUGCGUUGAAGAGCAUUAGAUCAAGUGGUUCUCCUGCUCGAAUUACAUAACUGUUCUCUGUGUAGAUUACUGGUUUCAGAUUGUCGCAGAUGAGUUUUAACACACUUUCAUCCAUAUAUCGAAGCAUCGGUACCUAUAUAUAUAAAGCUCAGGUGAAUCCAAUAAGAAUUAGAACAUGCAAGAUAAUUCAUGGACUGAAGCCAAGUUUGGGGAAGCAAGUAUUUACUUUCUUAAGUGAGUCCAUGCAGAGAAGGCGCUUUAUGGACCUUCUGUCCUUCAGGGGAAGAAUAGAGAGUAGAUUCUCCACAUGAACAUCUUUGUUCUCUUCCAAUUUCUGUCUUACGUUUUCGAUGAUCACUGUCUUCAUAUCGUUAGGGAGAUGAUUUCUGGACAUCCACCAUUGUAUCUCUAGCUCUUUCAUUAUCA